CAAACCUUUUAACUCAAGUAUAACUGUCCUUGCUGUAUCCAUGCUGCAUCUUGUGCGAUGUCUACUGCACCUCCCUGCCAUUGAUGAUGGUCUAGUCACGGGGACACCUGGAGCCUAUCCCAGGGAGCAUGGGGCACAAGGCGGGGUACACCCUGGACAAUACGACCAAAAAAAGACGUUUCAUGUUACUGACAAACCACAAAAAAGACUACGAUUACAGAUGGCAUCCUGAAGUUCCUACUGGUGCCAAUAUAAAGGCCUACAAGUUACAAGAAUAGCAGGAGUAGGAGCUUUGUCAGCCUCAAGAUGGCAGGACCUUAGCAUUGCAGCUGGAGGAGCUUGUGGCCUAC
ensembl:lncRNA